GUGAGGAAUAUUGGUCAAUGGGCGCGAGCCUGAACCAGCCAAGUAGCGUGCAGGACGACGGCCCUAUGGGUUGUAAACUGCUUUUAUACGGGGAUAAAGUAUGCCACGUGUGGUUUAUUGCAGGUACCGUAUGAAUAAGGACCGGCUAAUUCCGUGCCAGCAGCCGCGGUAAUACGGAAGGUCCGGGCGUUAUCCGGAUUUAUUGGGUUUAAAGGGAGCGUAGGCCGGGUUUUAAGCGUGCCGUGAAAUGUCGGGGCUCAACCUUGACACUGCGGCGCGAACUGGAGUCCUUGAGUGCGCGGAACGUAUGCGGAAUUCGUGGUGUAGCGGUGAAAUGCUUAGAUAUCACGAAGAACCCCGAUUGCGAAGGCAGCAUACGGCAGCGCUACUGACGCUGAAGCUCGAAGGCGCGGGUAUCGAACAGGAUUAGAAACCCUUGUAGUCC
rnacentral:rRNA from 1 species